rnacentral:rRNA from 1 species
UGGGGAAUAUUGGACAAUGGGGGCAACCCUGAUCCAGCCAUGCCGCGUGUGUGAAGAAGGCCCUCGGGUUGUAAAGCACUUUCAGCGAGGAAGAACGCCUAGUGGUUAAUACCCAUUAGGAAAGACAUCACUCGCAGAAGAAGCACCGGCUAACUCCGUGCCAGCAGCCGCGGUAAUACGGAGGGUGCAAGCGUUAAUCGGAAUUACUGGGCGUAAAGCGCGCGUAGGUGGCUUGAUAAGCCGGUUGCGAAAGCCCCGGGCUCAACCUGGGAACGGCAUCCGGAACUGUCAGGCUAGAGUGCAGGAGAGGAAGGUAGAAUUCCCGGUGUAGCGGUGAAAUGCGUAGAGAUCGGGAGGAAUACCAGUGGCGAAGGCGGCCUUCUGGACUGACACUGACACUGAGGUGCGAAAGCGUGGGUAGCAAACA